GAUGAACGCUGGCGGCGUGCCUAAUACAUGCAAGUCGAGCGAACAGACGAGGAGCUUGCUCCUCUGACGUUAGCGGCGGACGGGUGAGUAACACGUGGAUAACCUACCUAUAAGACUGGGAUAACUUCGGGAAACCGGAGCUAAUACCGGAUAAUAUAUUGAACCGCAUGGUUCAAUAGUGAAAGACGGUUUUGCUGUCACUUAUAGAUGGAUCCGCGCCGCAUUAGCUAGUUGGUAAGGUAACGGCUUACCAAGGCAACGAUGCGUAGCCGACCUGAGAGGGUGAUCGGCAACACUGGAACUGAGACACGGUCCAGACUCCUACGGGAGGCAGCAGUAGGGAAUCUUCCGCAAAGGGCGAAAGCCUGACGGAGCAGCGCCGCGUGAGUGAUGAAGGUCUUCGGAUCGUAAAACUCUGUUAUUAGGGAAGAACAAAUGUGUAAGUAACUAUGCACGUCUUGACGGUACCUAAUCAGAAAGCCACGGCUAACUACGUG
rnacentral:rRNA from 1 species